rnacentral:lncRNA from 10 species
UCCGUUGCCAGGUGAAUGGAUCCAGAAAAUGCAGUGUAGACGUGUAAGGUAGCACAACUCAGCCAUGAGGAGAGAAAUUCCCACACAAGCGACAGCGACACUAUGCUCAGCAAAAGAAGCCAGACACAAAGGCCGUGUCCUCUGCGAUUUUGUGUAUAUGAAAUGUCCAGGCCGGGCGCGGUGGCUCAUGCCUGUAAUCCCAGCACUUUGGGAGGCCGAGGCAGGCAGAUCACGUGAUGUCAAGAGUUCGAGACCAGCCUGGACAACAUGGUGAAACCCUGUCUCUACUAAAAGCCAGCCGUGGUGGUGUGUGCUUGUAAUCCCAGCUUCUCGGGAGGCUGAGGCACGAGAAUCGCUUGCACACGGGAGGGAGAGGUUGCGGUGAGCUGAGAUCUUGACACUGCAUUCCAGCCUGGGUGACAGAGUAAGACUCCAUCAAGAAAGGCAAAGGCAAAGGCAAAGGCAAAGCAAGGCAAGGCAAGGCAGAGAAAGGGAGGGAGGGAGACAAAAAGCAAGAAAGAAAAAAGAAAAUGUCCAGAACAGUGGGCUCAACCUCACCCUGUCAGCUGAAAGUCUCAAGAGAAGAGAACUGAACAGAGCCUGGGGUCAAGGUGUCUUCAGCCUCCCGGGGACUUCACAGGAGCCAUUCAGGGCCAUCAGUGGGUGGGGACUAGAGGAUUCUAAGGAUACCCAGGUCCCCACAGUCAGGGCGUGUGACGAGGCUGGCAGGGGCUGCUCUGCAGUUCUGCUUGUAACCCCCCAGCGCCUCGCCACCGUCUCCCAGGUCCCAGGCAUGAGUCAGAGCAGGUGCGGUGGAGAAGCAGCAUCCUAGCUGCACCACGGGCGCCACCUGCUGUCACACCCUCUACUCUCAACGGCCAGCUCCCACGUGGGCACAGCUGGCCUCCAGACACCUCCCUUCACAGCCCUCUGAAGGCUCCCUCCCCCUGCUCUGGUGGAGCCCAUCCUGCAGCCACUUCCUGCGACAGGGUGCGUGGAAGACACAUUUUGAGCACCGUGCCUAUCUGAGAAUGUCUAUUACACUCUCAUCCUUGAAUGAUAGCUGGGCUGGGUAUAGAAGUCUAGGCUAGGGCCAGGCGUGGUGGCUCACUCCUGUAAUCCCAGCACUUUGGGAGGCUGAGGCAGGUGGAUCACAAGAGACCAGGAGUUUGAGACCAGCCUGGCCAACAUGGUGAAACCCUGUCUCUAAUAAAAAUAUGAAACACUAGCCAGACAUGGUGGUGCAUGCCACCCAGCGACUCGGGAUGCUGAGGCAGGAGAAUCACUUCAGCCUAGGAGGUGGAGGCUACAGUGAACUGAGAUCACGCCACUGCACUCCAGCCUGGGCGACAGAGCAAGACUCCAUCUCAAAAAAAAAAGAAGUCUAGGCUGGAAGUCACUUUCCUCCAGCAUUUUGCAGGCAUUGCUUCAUCGUCUGUCUGUCUCCAGGGGCUGCUUCCACUUCUCAGGCCAUUCUGAGGCCCGUUUGAAGACGUAACAUGUGUCCAUGUGGAGAAUGUUCUGUUUGCCCUGUUCGCGGUGUUUUCCACAUUGUCGCGUCUUGGCUUGGGGAUGCUUGAGCUGGCAGUUUCUGAAAGACGAGUUAGAGAUAAAACUGAAAUAGGAGGCGACAUCUAGGAUCGACUUCAAAAUAAUCACGUCGGGAG